rnacentral:rRNA from 1 species
UCCAGACUCCUACGGGAGGCAGCAGUGAGGAAUAUUGGUCAAUGGGCGCGAGCCUGAACCAGCCAAGUAGCGUGAAGGAUGACUGCCCUACGGGUUGUAAACUUCUUUUAUAAAGGAAUAAAGUGAGGCACGUGUGCCUUUUUGUAUGUAUUUUAUGAAUAAGGAUCGGCUAACUCCGUGCCAGCAGCCGCGGUAAUACGGAGGAUCCGAGCGUUAUCCGGAUUUAUUGGGUUUAAAGGGUGCGUAGGCGGGCUUUUAGGUCAGCGGUCAAAUGUGGGGGCUCACCCCCGGCCUGCCGUUGAAACUGGCGGCCUCGAGUGGGCGAGAAGUAUGCGGAAUGCGUGGUGUAGCGGUGAAAUGCAUAGAUAUCGCGCAGAACUCCGAUUGCGAAGGCAGCAUGCCGGCUCCACACUGACGCUGAGGCACGAAAGCGUGGGUAUCGAACAGGAUUAGAUACCCUGGUA